ACAGAAAAGGUUGUAGGAAAAUCACUGUUAUUUGUACUGGUUUUUUUUCUUAUUAGUGACAUUUAACUCAUGUAGCAUUUUUAAAAAAUCCUUUUAAUUUAGACAAAGGAAUAUCAUUACUGUUUUAGAAAGAGUUGUCCUUUAUAAUAACUAUCAUGUAUACCUGAGGAUUUUUUUUAAUCCAUCUUUCUAAUCAACAUUUUAAUAGCUUCCUUACAUAUACUUGGGGAAAACUGUUUAAAGCAAUUCUUCCAGUAGUGUCCAAUUCUGAAGAAGCUACUUUUUAAAGCCACUGUGAAGCGAGAUCAGCAACUGCUGACGUGUAACAUUCCCCUUCCUCUCCGAUUACCCAAUCCAUUUCAAUCAGGUGAGGUCAGCACCAGUAUGGGCACACUGACUAAACUCUAACCCCAGUGCAGCUUCACUGGUUUCCACAGACGUUCCUGUUUCGCCCAGCCCUUCAGGAAGGGUCAUGCAGAGCCUGAAGGCACAGGCACAUGCUAAGACAUCAGAUCUGUUACUCAGUACUGCCUGUGAGUCCAUGUACUGCAUUUGUCAGCUUGGAUGAUUUAUAUAAUGCACCGUGACACACUCGCGGUAUCAGGAGGAUUAUACAAUGCACCACGGAUUCACUACCCUGCCAUGACAGUACUGGAAAAUAAUGAGGUGAAGAAUACUAUAUAGCAAGUGACAAAUCACAGAAUGGUUAAGGUUGGAAUGGACCUCUGGAGAUCACGUAGUCUAACACCCCUAUUCACAGCACAGCGAACUGGAGUAGGACUGUGUCC